CCUACGGGAGGCAGCAGUAGGGAAUAUUGCACAAUGGGGGAAACCCUGAUGCAGCGACGCCGCGUGAGUGAAGAAGUAAUUCGUGAUGUAAAGCUCUAUCAGCAGGGAAGAAAAGGACGGUACCUGAGUAAGAAGCCCCGGCUAACUACGUGCCAGCAGCCGAGGGAAUACGUAGGGGGCAAGCGUUAUCCAGAUUUACUGGGUGUAAAUGGAGCGUAGACGGCAGGGCAAGUCUGGAGUGAAAGGCGGGGGCUCAACCCCCGGACUGCUCUGGAAACUGUACGGCUGGAGUGCAGGAGAGGUAAGUGGAAUUCCUAGUGUAGCGGUGAAAUGCGUAGAUAUUAGGAGGAACACCAGUGGCGAAGGCGGCUUACUGGACUGUAACUGACGUUGAGGCUCGAAAGCGUGGGGAGCAAACAGGAUUAGAUACCCGGGUAGUC
rnacentral:rRNA from 1 species